CAAAACUCGAAUUGGGCAAACCGCAGGACCUUUUUUGCCAGCUGCACUCAGCACCAAUAUGUGCUCAUUACUCAGAGACAUCAGCUCCAUUCCCACCACUACAAACAACUGUAAUUCACAGGCAUAAUAAGGCUGAUAGGAGAGGAGUUGGGAUGUGUCCAGAAGAGACAGAUAUGGGUCAAAGCAGUUAGCCAUUCAUGGAGGGAAAUCAUGGAAGGGGGUGGAGGCUGAAGAGUCCCAGAAGAGUCCUUUGAUUGACAGUGCUUCGGCUUCCAGCUUAUUGCCAUGUGGGCAGCUGAUUCACGGUUCACAUGCCUUACAGAAUUGAGCUGGCACAGGCUCCCAUGCCCACCUGCUGUUUCUAGAACACAAAAGCAUGGUGCUUUCAGUAAAACCACUUGUUCUAAUAAAGUGCAGAUUAUGGUCGUACAUGCUGAACAGUUUGAUGACAAACCGGGUAAGGUAAUGAGAGGCAAUGUGAGAUAUACCCGAGUCUUCCCAUUGACUCGAGUCAUGGGAGCUUUAUUUGUUUUUUAUGCUGUGUAUUUUUUGUACAUUUAAACACAUAGAUAUAAUAUAAGCCUGUAAUACUUUGAUAUUGUUGAAUGUUGAAUUCUGAUUGGUCAGAAGGUUUCAUUUUCUAUAACAGCACGGCUCUGACACUCAUUUCUUUUUUGCUUUAUUACCUUAAUGACAAAGAGAAAAAAGGAGGUUGUUGAGCCAGUGAUUGUUUAUAGCUGCUAUAACAAGUCAUAACAGGAACUAACAUGUGUCAAAAACAU
ensembl:lncRNA